GAGUUUGAUCAUGGCUCAGGAUGAACGCUGGCGGCGUGCCUAACACAUGCAAGUCGAGCGUGAACCUUUCAAAUGAAACUUCGGUCGAAUGAGGAAGGGGAAAGCGGCGGACGGGUGAGUAACGCGUAGGCAACCUGCCCUGUACAGAGGGAUAGCCUCGGGAAACCGGGAUUAAGACCUCAUAAAACCAGAACCUCUCCUGAGGAACUGGUCAAAGAUUAUAUCGGUAUGGGAUGGGCCUGCGUCUGAUUAGCUGGUUGGUGGGGUAACGGCUCACCAAGGCAACGAUCAGUAGCCGACCUGAGAGGGUGAUCGGCCACAUUGGAACUGAGACACGGUCCAAACUCCUACGGGAGGCAGCAGUGGGGGAUAUUGCACAAUGGGCGAAAGCCUGAUGCAGCAACGCCGCGUGAGCGAGGAAGGCCUUUGGGUCGUAAAGCUCUGUCGGGAAGGAAGAUAAUGACGGUACUUCCCGAGGAAGCCCCGGCUAACUACGUGCCAGCAGCCGCGGUAAUACGUAGGGGGCGAGCGUUAUCCGGAAUUAUUGGGCGUAAAGAGUGCGUAGGCGGUUUCUUAAGCGUGGGGUGAAGGCCAUUGGCUUAACCAAUGUAAGCCCCGCGAACUGGGGAGCUUGAGUGCAGGAAAGGAAAGCGGAAUUCCUUAGUUAGCGGUGAAAAUGUUUGAUUAUUGGGAGGAACACCAGUGGGCGAAGGCGGGCUUUUCUGGACUGUAACUUGACCCUGAGGCAUGAAAGGGUUGGGAGCCAAACAGGGAUUUGGUACCCUUGGUAGUCCACGCCGUAAACGAUGAGCAGUAGGUGUCGGGGUUGUAAGACUUCGGUGCCGCAGUUAAGGCAUUAAGUGCUCCGCCUGGGGAGUACGUGCGCAAGCAUGAAACUCAAAGGAAUUGACGGGGACCCGCACAAGCAGCGGAGCAUGUGGUUUAAUUCGAAGCAACGCGAAGAACCUUACCAGGGCUUGACAUCCCUUUGACCGGCCGGUAACGCGGCCUUCCCUUCGGGGCAGAGGAGACAGGUGGUGCAUGGUUGUCGUCAGCUCGUGUCGUGAGAUGUUGGGUUAAGUCCCGCAACGAGCGCAACCCUUGUCAUUAGUUGCCAUCAGGUUAAGCUGGGCACUCUAGUGAGACCGCCGGGGAUAACUCGGAGGAAGGUGGGGACGACGUCAAAUCAUCAUGCCCCUUAUGUUCUGGGCUACACACGUGCUACAAUGGCCGGUACAGAGAGACGCAAAGUCGCGAGGCGGAGCAAAACUCUAAAACCGGUCCCAGUUCGGAUUGCAGGCUGAAACCCGCCUGCAUGAAGUCGGAGUUGCUAGUAAUCGCGAAUCAGAAUGUCGCGGUGAAUGCGUUCCCGGGUCUUGUACACACCGCCCGUCACACCACGGAAGUUGGGGGCGCCCGAAGUCGGUCAGUAAAUAGGCUGCCUAAGGCGAAAUCAAUGACUGGGGUGAAGUCGUAACAAGGUAAC
rnacentral:rRNA from 1 species